rnacentral:lncRNA from 1 species
UUGCAAUAAACACGUCCGACCUAUGGGUCUGAUUGGGCGUUGAUUGUGAUACAUCCUAGUUACAAACUAGCUACUGUCAUUGUUCAUUAACAAGAUGAAGGCCACGGUGUUGCUGAUGGUGUUAGUCGCCGCAGUGUUGCUGCUACACUCCGGUGACGCAAGGAGACGUCGUUCAUGGUUUCGGAGGCUAUUUAGUCGAACAAGACCGUGCAAGAUACUGCAUGGCAAAUGUCAUUGGCAACGCCGAGACGUAGGAGACGCUGAAGACGCAGCUAUGCAUCUACACCUCGAUACACACGAUUCACCUGCUCCGUCGGAAUAAGAUGUAUGUAGAUCAUACUGAUGUACCGGGCCAGGGAAACCCCAUCAAACCGCAUAAUAUUGUUCUCAGAGUAAUCAUCCAGAUGUCACUAUUGCUCGGUUGGUACGUUUAACGACAUGCCAAAUUAAUGGUAAAGCUGCUAUAACUACAUGAUUGCGUGCUCAAUAAUUAUCAACAAAUGCUAUUACUUUUCAGGUAAUAUCGAUUGUGAGAUCGUUUGGCUUUUGACAAUAAAAUGGACAAUAAAAUUCAACGAAGACA